rnacentral:rRNA from 1 species
GUGCCAGCCGCCGCGGUAAUACGUAGGUGGCGAGCGUUAUCCGGAUUUAUUGGGCGUAAAGCGUGCGCAGACGGUUUACUAAGUCUAAGAUGAAAGCCCGAAGCUUAACUUCGGAUUGUUUUAGAAACUGGUAGGCUUGAGUAUAGUAGAGGCAAAUGGAAUUUCUAGUGUAGCGGUAAAAUGUGUAGAUAUUAGAAGGAACACCAGUGGCGAAAGCGAUUUGCUAGGCUAUUACUGACGUUCAUGCACGAAAGCGUGGGGAGCAAAUAGGAUUAGAUACCCUAGUAGUCCACGCCGUAAACGAUGAGUACUAAGUGUCGGGUUUCCGGUGCUGAAGUUAACACAUUAAGUACUCCGCCUGAGUAGUACGGUCGCAAGGCUGAAACUCAAAGGAAUUGGCGG